GAUGAACGCUGGCGGCGUGCCUAAUACAUGCCAGUCGAGCGAACAGAUGAGGAGCUUGCUCCUCUGACGUUAGCGGCGGACGGGUGAGUAACACGUGGAUAACCUACCUAUAAGACUGGGAUAACUUCGGGAAACCGGAGCUAAUACCGGAUAAUAUAUUGAACCGCAUGGUUCAAUAGUGAAAGACGGUUUUGCUGUCACUUAUAGAUGGAUCCGCGCCGCAUUAGCUAGUUGGUAAGGUAAAGGCUUACCAAGGCAACGAUGCGUAGCCGACCUGAGAGGGUGAUCGGCCACACUGGAACUGAGACACGGUCCAGACUCCUACGGGAGGCAGCAGUAGGGAAUCUUCCGCAAUGGGCGAAAGCCUGACGGAGCAACGCCGCGUGAGUGAUGAAGGUCUUCGGAUCGUAAAACUCUGUUAUUAGGGAAGAACAAAUGUGUAAGUAACUAUGCACGUCUUGACGGUACCUAAUCAGAAAGCCACGGCUAACUACGUG
rnacentral:rRNA from 1 species